CUACAGGCUUAACACAUGCAAGUCGAGGGGCAGCAUGGUCUUAGCUUGCUAAGGCCGAUGGCGACCGGCGCACGGGUGAGUAACACGUAUCCAACCUGCCGUCUACUCUUGGACAGCCUUCUGAAAGGAAGAUUAAUACAAGAUGGCAUCAUGAGUCCGCAUGUUCACAUGAUUAAAGGUAUUCCGGUAGACGAUGGGGAUGCGUUCCAUUAGAUAGUAGGCGGGGUAACGGCCCACCUAGUCUUCGAUGGAUAGGGGUUCUGAGAGGAAGGUCCCCCACAUUGGAACUGAGACACGGUCCAAACUCCUACGGGAGGCAGCAGUGAGGAAUAUUGGUCAAUGGGCGAGAGCCUGAACCAGCCAAGUAGCGUGAAGGAUGACUGCCCUAUGGGUUGUAAACUUCUUUUAUAAAGGAAUAAAGUCGGGUAUGCAUACCCGUUUGCAUGUACUUUAUGAAUAAGGAUCGGCUAACUCCGUGCCAGCAGCCGCGGUAAUACGGAGGAUCCGAGCGUUAUCCGGAUUUAUUGGGUUUAAAGGGAGCGUAGAUGGAUGUUUAAGUCAGUUGUGAAAGUUUGCGGCUCAACCGUAAAAUUGCAGUUGAUACUGGAUAUCUUGAGUGCAGUUGAGGCAGGCGGAAUUCGUGGUGUAGCGGUGAAAUGCUUAGAUAUCACGAAGAACUCCGAUUGCGAAGGCAGCCUGCUAAGCUGCAACUGACAUUGAGGCUCGAAAGUGUGGGUAUCAAACAGGAUUAGAUACCCUGGUAGUCCACACGGUAAACGAUGAAUACUCGCUGUUUGCGAUAUACGGCAAGCGGCCAAGCGAAAGCGUUAAGUAUUCCACCUGGGGAGUACGCCGGCAACGGUGAAACUCAAAGGAAUUGACGGGGGCCCGCACAAGCGGAGGAACAUGUGGUUUAAUUCGAUGAUACGCGAGGAACCUUACCCGGGCUUAAAUUGCAGAUGAAUUACGGUGAAAGCCGUAAGCCGCAAGGCAUCUGUGAAGGUGCUGCAUGGUUGUCGUCAGCUCGUGCCGUGAGGUGUCGGCUUAAGUGCCAUAACGAGCGCAACCCUUGUUGUCAGUUACUAACAGGUUCCGCUGAGGACUCUGACAAGACUGCCAUCGUAAGAUGUGAGGAAGGUGGGGAUGACGUCAAAUCAGCACGGCCCUUACGUCCGGGGCUACACACGUGUUACAAUGGGGGGUACAGAGGGCCGCUACCACGCGAGUGGAUGCCAAUCCCCAAAACCUCUCUCAGUUCGGACUGGAGUCUGCAACCCGACUCCACGAAGCUGGAUUCGCUAGUAAUCGCGCAUCAGCCACGGCGCGGUGAAUACGUUCCCGGGCCUUGUACACACCGCCCGUCAAGCCAUGGGAGCCGGGGGUACCUGAAGUGCGUAACCGCGAGGAGCGCCCUAGGGUAAAACUGGUGACUGGGGCUAAAUCG
rnacentral:rRNA from 1 species